AGAAGAAAACAGAAUCACAAAGAGAUUUCCAAACAGGAGGAGCUCUGAGAUACAAACAGCUUAAUUAGUAGAAGCGCCUAAUGUCUUUGGGUGGUUUGAAAUUGACAGGGUGAGUUUCUGGAGUUGCAUUCUCAUCUUCUUUCGACAUCUUUAUCGUCUUAUCAGCUUCACAUGUUACCAAUCUCGAACCUGUCUGAUCAUAACACGCUGCAUAUAUACCCGCUUCACCCUCCAGUGACCCUGCCAAGACCCAUUAUUAUUGCUUCCGAGGCCUAAUUAUAUCAUACUGAGACUUCUAUAAAUCUUCACCUUACAAGGAGAUCAAGAGCAAAUGAACAUGAAACGAGCUAUGAAUAUACGUACCAGGCUGUACAAAAGUUUCAGUCCCAGAACCAUAUACUUCCAUUAUCACCUUUAUUCAUACAUACAUACAUAGAAACAAUUUUAGUUAAGUGAAGGCGAGGUAGUUAUACAAUCACAGAAAAGGGAUUCAGAUAAAUUUGUUACCUCCAGUCACCAUUACACCAGCCACUACGUUAAUUAUAGUCAUCUGCUGCGAACUGUUCCACGGAGAAAGACACCGUAUAUCAUAAUACAAAAAAAAACUGCCUUAAUUUCAAAUGAAACUCGAGCUUCAAAAGCACUAGAGAUGCAAGAUAAUGGGUUAUAUCUUACAGCAUGUUGUGGCAAAAUUCUCCCUUUGGAAGGCCAAAUUUAUUGGUGUUGUCAGCUGAUGCAGAAGCAAAGGCAUUUCUAAAAACGAAAAACAAAAAGAGAUAUUAUUAGAAGCUAGUGUUCAAAUGGAUCGUAGUCUUGAUGAACCUGGUGUUCGAAAGAUAAAACUGGAAGCACUGCAAAACUAUAUACAUACUCUUUAGGAUGAAGGGCCAUUGUUCGCACAGAUUUCUUAUGGUGCGUUAAGAGUCGCCAUCGUUUUUCCUGUAUAUAAUAAUCCGACAUUUCAGACCAAAUCAUAUGUUUGCAGCAAGUGAUCAUCUAAUAAGCACAUAUAUCUAAAACAAAAUGGAUUUAUAGUCCAGACGAUGGUUAGAAUGAUAAGAUUUACCAUAUCGAAGGUUCCAAAAUUUAAAUAGACUGUGAUUUUAAUGGGUUCCAAAAGACUGAAGUUGGUUUUCCUUUUUUCCACCAAUGAUAUGGUUUUUUUUGGUUCAAAAGAUAAUGGUUUUCUUUAAAAUAAUGUUGAGAGCUCUUUUAUUUUCCACACUUCUCACGAUUUAUUGCGCCGAAAACUAUAAUAUAAAGAAAAUUAAAUACGUUUGUAAACCAGAAACUCUAUUAUUUCCGGUUAACGAAUUUUCAAUUUUGGUAAAGAAAAAAAAACUUAUAGGUAUAUUAGGGUUUUGAGCUACGCCACCCUCUAUAUAAAUUGGGCAUUCUCUUCCCUCUCUCCAUUACCUUCUUCAUAGUCUUCUUUUGAUUCUCUGUUUCCUUUUGAUUUUUUUUUUACUUAAUCGAUUUUGUGUUUAUAGUUUUCUUUGUUUGAUGAGAUCGCCCGAUGAAGAAGAAUUCCCAAAAGAUAGGAAGUGCCGUAUGACACUUUAAACGCAGCAGGCGAACUGAAUCGAGGAUUGCAUCCGGUUUUCGAUUUCUCAAUCCCCCGUUUAGUCUUCACCCCAUGACCGUACGCAGAUCCUAACCCGGGUCCGUUUACGAAUCGUGUUCGAAGCUGACCGGACCGGGUUUGGUUAUCUUGACCGUACUUCCCACCGUUUCUGUGUUCGCUUCUGUGUGUUUGAUUUUAAACGGGUUUCUGAGGGUUUUUUUAAAAAAAAAAAAAUUUAAUACUAACUGUUCGAUGCCACGUCGACGAUAGCUUAUGGGCUAUGAUCGUUGAUGCUACAUUGGACAAAAACAGAUGUACGUGUUUCGCUUUUCUGAUAGGAACCUGUAGAUCUUGAUUCUUUUGGUCUACGGAGCCAUUUCGGCGAUUACAUUCUUUAAAUUAGUUAUAAUUAUUCGUGGGAAGUAAAUUGUUGAUGAUCAUUGCUAAAAUAUGGAAUUACCGUCUGAGUUUAAUUACUUUGAUGUGAAAAACGCUGGCUUACUGAGAUUUAUUUCCCUUAUUUAAAAAAGAUUGUUGUUUUUCUUUUUGUUGGGACAGUGACGAUUGAUAUUAGGUCUCGUUCGUCGUAAUAUCGGCCUUAAAAAAGCCGAUUUGCCGACCAUUCUGUUAUAUCACCACCCAUAUUCUGAGUCCUUUUUGUAUGUUUUUUAUCAUUCUCAUCAUUUUCUUUUAAUUGGCCGAUGAUUAAAUCAAUUAAGACAAGCAUAUAUAUGUCUGAAUUAAUCCCUGUUGAUAAGCCUAAUCUUCUCGAUGAGGCCGAUUUAUUAGUUCUUUUGUUGUUUGAUUUAGUAGGAGGAAGGGGGUCAGGUGAUGAAUAAUAAUGCAUAGUUCAGAUGAAAAUAAUCUCCAUGAUUACAUUUUGUAGCAUAGUCUUUCGCUCCUAUCUGAUGACCCCCUCCUAUCUUGUUUUCUCUGCAUUUGCCUACGUAAAUCUUUGUUGUGAAAGUCCAAUCUUCUAUAUUUUCAGUAAGACUAAUAAUUGCAUAUUUUUUAUUAUGUUAUUUUGAUAUAAAUUUUGGAUAACGCUUUCAGAUGAGAAUUUUCAUUAGUGAUCAUGAUGUUGUUUCGAGGAAGUUGGUUUGAAAAUAGUUGGUUAACUCCUUCCAAGUAGGCCUUGGCAUUAGGAUCCUCCUUGUGGGUCCGGAUCCUUUGGGUCUAAGAGUUUAGGACCCGAUAGGUUAAUUUAAAAUUGUCGGUUUGAGGUCGGUUCGGGUCUCUUCGGAUCUGGGUCCGGGUCGGGUUGGGCCUUAGAUAGUAAGACCCAAUAGGAUAAUUAGGGUUUGUUGAUUCAUAUUCGGUUGGGUUACGGAUCAGGUUUGGUUCGGGUCAUGUCGGGUCCAACCCAUAAAAAUACCUAAAACACACAGAAUAUAUCUGAAAAUAUUUAAAUACUCAAAAAAUAUGAGAAAUUUUAUAUAAAAUCUGAUUCAAAGACAAAAAAAAAUAUCCAAAAUUUUAUCUGAUUAUCCCAAUUAUAUUUUUGAAAAUCUAAAUUUUUAUCCAAAUCCCAAAACUAUAUCCAAAAACUAAAAUUUGAAACUUAAAAAAUAUCCAUAAUACCAAAAAUAAACUGAAACAUCCAUGUCUAACAAUACUAAAAGCAGGAUAUCAAACCCUUUUGGCGUGUCCACGUCGUCUUUAAAAAUCAGCCAACGAGGAGGUUCUCUUUCGACAUGUCACCAUCGCUUCUAACUUAAAGAGUGAAACUGGGCCUUUCGUGUAGGUUUUAAAAAUUUUCUAUGGCCCAGUUUAAACAUAAUACGCGUAAACCUCUGUAGAGUCGGGAGCGUCGUCGAACUCAGUCUCUUCCACUUCCUCUCCGCCGAUCUUUUCCUCUGUAAUCACCGUUACCUCUACCCUUACUUGAACAAUCGAUGAUGUUCUUUACUCACUCCUUUAUUUUUUCGUUCGACCUCCCGAUGAUUAUUCAUCCUCCAAAUCCUGACGUUUCAUGAGUCUAUCAACCACUUGCUAUAAAUUUAGGACCAUACACACGAACCCUCACUACCCAAUCCAAGUACUCUGCAGUUCGUACUUUUCUACUCCCCUCUUCCGUCAUGGCUAACCUCGAGUUUGUCAUCCUACUUGACAUUCGACAGUCUGCACCUUUGCUGUUAUCUCAAGCGGUUGUCCGGCGAUGCACCUUUGUCGUUAUCUCAAGAGGUUGUCCGGCGACUCAUCAUUCACUGGGAUUAUUAGGUUUUUAAUCCCUCUUGCCUGUUCAGUCGCUAUUAAUCUCGAUACAACUUCUCGCGGAUAAACAUGUUAAUUAGUUAACUCCCUUUUGGAUUUUAAAAAAUGAUAUCAUUCUCCGCUAUUGGAUUUUUAUUUUUCCUUUCGUUAUGUUUGAUUCCUCUUAUGAUUUUUUGGUAAUCAAUUUUUUUUCCCAAGCUGAAUCAUUCUAAAUAUGUAGUAAACAUAUCAUCUUAAUUUGUCGACUUUUGUUUUGGUGUUCACUCUAAUGAAUGUUGUUGUUGAUUCUUCCCAUACCGGUUAGUUUCUUUGUUAAUACUGUGCCACGCCAUCUCUUUCAUCACAUGAUCUUAGUUGGUUCUUUCUCUACAAUCAGCUGAUUGCUUCAUGACUUUCCUACUUUGGCUUAUUGCAACUCAUAUUCAGGAGCUGGAGGAGGAACUUAAGCUUCUCAAGAAUCACUCUCAACCAAAUAUAGUUGUAAGCAAUAAAAGCUUUUUGUAUUUCUUACAAAUGUUUGAUACGCCCACUACGUCUUUGUUUCGUUUAUAACUCUUUUAUUCAAACCCACUGAGAAUUUUGUUUCUUUUAUAACAUGAAACAUUAAAGUAAGAACUUGUGAUUGAUUUAUUAGAAAGCUGUGUUUUGUGAACUUUAUGGUCCUGCAGAGAGAGAUAGACAAGGUUUUCCAAUAAGCAGCUAUUCCUUUGUCUCAGUGAGUCUCCUCUUUUCAUGGACGAUGGGAGAAGAAGAGAAGCGGGAAGAAAUAUUGGAUGUUAUUAGCGAGGAAGCUGGAGCAUUGGCCACAGCUGAGGGAACCAAGAGCUUGAACUCAAGUGUCAUCUAAACUAAUGCUCCUUAGGAAUUCUUUUUAAGCGGAGUCAGUUGUGGUUGUGGCAUGUCAAUGACAAGAGUGAUGGUAAGAAGUAAAAUAAAGCUAGAAGACUAAGGGAGAAGAUGAAAAUCAAUGAAAAGCGGAUGGUUGCGUAAGGGAGGAGAGCGUAAAAGUUUAAGAAGGUUUUGAUUGGACAAUUGAAGUCUCAUAAGGGAAGGAACUAUAAAAUUAUUUUCACUUCCUGAAUUAUUUGUCGUGCCUGGAGGGGUUGUGAUUCCUGGAGAUAAAAAAAAACAUUCAGAGAUAUCGUUUGAUAUACUAAGCAUUUCAGAUUUUAGGAUCAGAUUUCUUAAACAAAGUGAUUUCAAGCAAAAGCUUACUUUCUGAUUUUCAUCUCAGAAUUAUCCCGUGUGCUAUAUACUAAUUGUUUUAGAGUAUCCAAUCUCCUUAUAUCCAGAACUUCAGAAGCAGAGUAUAUGUUCUUACACAUUGACUUUAGGCCGAUAACAUCAUAUAACAAUAAUUCUAUUUUUUUUUUCAAAUGCAAGCGAUACUGAAUUCACAUAGAAAGCCACCGACUGUGUUAGAUGCAUAGCUAUGAUUAAGCAACAUCAGUCAUCAAUACUAUAAUGAGAGAAAAUCGAAUUUUGUUAUCAUACAAUGCAAACACACAAGCAUAUGAGGAUAGGCUCUCCAGACUUCACUUUAUUAUAUUAUAUUGAAAUUUUAGAUGAAUAGACAAAUGAACAAGACAUGAGUUUUAAAAUCCAUCCUCACACAAAAAUUUCCCCGUAAAAACGGCUACUCACCCGAGUUUUGAACACGGCCAGUUUAUGAACAUGAGUUACAAUCAAUCCAUGUUUUAGAAAAAAAAACAAUCAAAAAGGAGAAUGAGAACAAUUGCAUGUUGCUUUUUUAUAAAAUACUUCCACGCACACAAAUAAACAAAUAUGUUAUGUGUUUUUUGGGUGCAAAUGUUAUGUGGUUUUCAGUCAUUAUUUUAGGUUCAAUGUAAUCUCCUUUAUAUAAUCAAUAGGCAAAGCUGUCUGUGGAUAAGCUUUGGUUUCUAAUGAUGCACGUAAUCAGUAAAUCUAAUGAAACUAAGGUUAUACAGGAAACCAUGUAUGAGGACUUUGGCUCCUAGGGAUCGAAACGACUUUUGAAAGGAAAAAAUAUAUACAUACCUAUUAUUUAUAUAAUUUACAAAAAGGUCUAUGGAAAAAAGAAGCUAGAUUACCAAAACAAAUGCAGUUAAGAAAUCCAAUGAAUAAAAAAUCAGUAUCCAAAAAUAAAUCUCUCCGGAAAAGUAAACAGCAAAAAAAUUGCACACAUACAAAAAAAUAAACAAAACAUACAUUACACAUAUGUAAAUUAAAACAAUUACUGAAAAAGUCAUAUGAAAAUAUACUGUUUUUAACAUGAAAACUCAAAUAUUAGAACAAUCCAACAGAUAUACAUACACUCACCAAAUAUACACAUCAUACUCACAUCAUACAUUACUAUGAACUAAAAAACAAUAAAAAAAUAUGCAAAACAUGAAAUAGUACAUCAAGCUCCCGGUCAUAUCCCUUAAAAAAAUAUGCAAAACACAUUUCUCUGUCAUAUCCCUCCAAAAGACAAGACAUAAACCUAUAAAAUAACCAUAAAAUAUGGAGGGCCAGGGCCAGAGAAAUUCUACAACAGCUCCACCAUCUACCCUGCAACUACUGAAGCAUCUUUUUGGACAAACAAGCCACGAAUGGAGAAUGCAUUGGAGAUCCAUCAUGAGUAUGGCAAGCCAAACAUCACCUCCGCAUGCACUAAAUCGUACAAGCAGUGGUUCCACAAACAAGGUAAAUUACAGCUAUAUAGUCCCAUAAACAAAACAAAGUAAAUAAGGUUAUCAUGCAUCUAUAAAACAGGCAAUCGCUUAUUCACUAAUAAAAAUAACAUUGAACAUCACAAACCAGUAUACAGCCACUCUGUUGCAAAUUUAGGUAACCCUUCAUCUUUGUUAACAGAUCAGGGGCAUGUCCAACGCAUCACAUCAGUGGUGAAAUCAACCAACGAGAAGAUGGCAUCUCAGGCCUAACUCGAACCAUCAUCUCACAAUUUUCCAUUUAUGUCUACAAGGUAUUCCAAGGUACGAUCUUCUACACUC